AUCUUUCCAAACUACUCUCCACGGGAGACAUGGCAAUGAUGUCAUCCUCGCUGCUCGGGCUUCAUUCAUUUCUCUGUUCCUCUCCUCUCAUCUUCCUCGUUUCUCCAAUCGUCGGCGCGACAGCGACGAGUACCAGGCUUAGAGGCCUCGUCAACGGGAACUAGGUCCAGUAGCGGCGGCUCGCAGGCGAACAAGCAAGGCCAGGGCGGCCCGGCGGGUGCAGCGGCUCGCGAGGGAAGGGGCGGGUGUGGCUGGUGUGGCGGCUCGCAGGCGCGGCGGCGAUGGCUCGCAGGCGAGGCGGCCGUGCAAACCCGAGGCGGGUGUGGCGGCGAGAAUCAGGAAGGGAGGGCUGAAGUCAGGUAGCCGGUCCCUGUCCACUCGAAUUUGGCCUCCUGCGCACAACCAUAGCCUCUGCUCCGGGCGAUUUGCAUGUACAACUAUGCAGGUUUGGUUGUUUUGAUUGAUGCGAUGCCCCAGUGAUAUGGUACUUGCAAAAUGAUCUUCUAAUGUCUUUGUUCAAUCAAGCUUCUGCUGUUAAGAGUUAGACUGAGCUUCUUAUUGUAUUGGUACAUUAGGAUGUUAUUAAAUUGAGAAACAUAGAUGAAUCUGUCCUCUACAUGUUACUCUUGUUCUUUGCUGCUUGUUCACCAAUUGUUUGUUUCAUGCUUGGUGGCAACUUAUAUUGUUCUUUGGACUGUAUCAAGCUGAGGUAAUGGCAGAACUUAUACAAGAGAGAUGUACAUAUAUUAUCAUGACUUAAUGACUUAAUAGUUAUUAUUUUAGGUGAAUCAUGUCUUGCCUUCUCUGAUUCUGACCUGAAUUAAGAGUGAUAUAAGUUUGGCGAUUCUGAAUUCUGAUGAUAUGGAGUUGCAUUGAGGCUGUAAUUGCGCCAGAGGUGGAGACAUUGUUCUUAAAGGCGCGUGAGGCGGCAUAAGGAUGAACGGGCCUGAGGACGCGUAGGGUGUAAUCAUCUUGCCGUCUUUCUCAACUCCCAUGGCCGGUCGGCCUUGUUUUCAUCCUAAUUGGUUGUAAUCUAUGUCCAGUCAACCUAAGUGGUGGCUAGAGCAUUUGGAUAGUAGGACAUUGGCAUGGAGCUCAAAAUAUUGAUAUCUUUUCUUCCAUUAACUUUCAUAUCCAAAAUGUAAUUGUUGCUUAUGAAUUCUCAAGAUCAAUUCUUUUGUCAGUUUCUCGUGGGCGCCUCUAUUCUUAUAUGGAACAACCAGAUGCUGGGAAGUUAAAUGAUGAACUGUGCAGAGGUUUGAUACUAGAGGAGACUGACAUGGAUUUGGAUGGGGCAAAACACUUGCGGCUGCAAAUCAAGAAGAUCAACUUUCAUAUCUUCUUUGCUGCCUCUUCAGAACACAAGAUAAAGCCAUGAAAAUCUUGAUUUAGUAUCACAU